UUUGAUUUCUAAAGUAACUGUGCAGAAGUCAUAAUAAUAAAAGAUUCCUUUGACCAACUAACAUAUAUUCCAAAUCCUAUAACAGAGACCGUGUGAGCCUUAGCUGCUGUAAUAAUGGUGAAGACCCAGCAAGUUUUGUUGGCUACUCUGUGGUUUCAGUUCAUCUGGGCAAGUGGCAAAAAUGGAGUGGAACAGAGUCCCCAGUCCCUGACUGCCCAGGAAGGCAAUUUUGUCACAAUCAACUGCAGUUUCUCAGUAGGAAUGACCGCUUUGCACUGGUUGCAACAGAAUCCUGGAGGAGGUAUUGUCUCCUUGUUUAUACUGAGCCUCGAGAUGAAGAAGAAAGGAAGAAUAAGAGCCACAAUAAACACAGAGGAACUUCACAGCUCUCUGUACAUCACAGCCUCCCAGCCCAGAGACUCUGCCAUCUACCUCUGUGCUGUGGAGACACAGUGCUCCACCGUCAUCUGGAGCCUGUACCCAAACUCUGAAGCUCAAAGGCAUCAUUUCCCCUCAUUCUUGUCUUUCUAA